GCAAACUUGGUCAUUUAGAGGAAGUAAAAGUCGUAACAAGGUUUCCGUAGGUGAACCUGCGGAAGGAUCAUUACCGAGUGCGGGCCCUCUGGGUCCAACCUCCCACCCGUGUCUACCGUACCAUGUUGCUUCGGCGGGCCCGCCGUCUGGCCGCCGGGGGGCAGUCGCCCCCGGGCCUGUGCCCGCCGAAGACCCCCCUUUGAACGCUUUGUCUGAAGGAUGCAGUCUGAGUCGAUUUUUAAAAUCAGUUAAAACUUUCAACAACGGAUCUCUUGGUUCCGGCAUCGAUGAAGAACGCAGC
rnacentral:misc_RNA from 1 species